rnacentral:misc_RNA from 2 species
CAGAGUUCAUGCCCUUACGGGUAGACCUCCCACCCUUGAAUACUAUACCUCUUGUUGCUUUGGCGGGCCGCUCCGGCUACCGGCUCCGGCUGGUGAGUGCCCGCCAAGGGACCUAAACUCUUGAAUUAUUGUGUCGUCUGAGUACUAUAUAAUAGUUA